rnacentral:sRNA from 1 species
AAAAAAGAUACUCAGCUACACCAAUUAGGACGAAACAUAUGGUCACAAAUGCAAAGUUUAGAAAUGUACAACGAACUAAAUGUAUUGCAUGCCCACAUAUACUAAAUAUAUGAUGACAUGUGGUCAACAUCACAAACAUUUUUCCGAUAUACUAAUCGUCAAAAUCCAGUGUUGACCAUAAUUGACCGGCAUUGACAAACAAAAAUAUUUU